rnacentral:rRNA from 1 species
GAUGAACGCUGGCGGCGUGCUUAACACAUGCAAGUCGAACGGAAAGGCCCAAGCUUGCUUGGGUACUCGAGUGUCGAACGGGUGAGUAACACGUGGGUGAUCUGCCCUGCACUUCGGGAUAACCCUGGGAAACUGGGUCUAAUACCGGAUAGGACGAUGGUCUGGAUGCCCUUGUGGAAAGUUUUUUCGGUGUGGGAUGAGCUCGCGGCCUAUCAGCUUGUUGGUGGGGUAAUGGCCUACCAAGGCGUCGACGGGUAGCCGGACUGAGAGGGUGUACGGCAACAUUGAGACUAAGAUACGGCCCAGACUCCUACAAGAGGAAGCAGUGGGGAAUAUUGCACAAUGGGGGCAAGAAUGAUGCAGCGACGCCGCGUGGGGGAUGACGGUUUUCGGGGUGUAAACACCUAUAGCUAGGGACGAAGCGAUUUAGUGACGGUACCUGGAGAAGAAGCACCGGCUAACUACGUG